UGGCUCAGGACGAACGCUGGCGGCGUGCCUAACACAUGCAAGUCGAGCGAGGAGAUCCUUCGGGAUGAUCCUAGCGGCGGACGGGUGAGUAACACGUGGGCAACCUGCCUCAUAGAGAGGAAUAGCCUUCCGAAAGGGAGAUUAAUACCUCAUAACAUUGCAGUUUCGCAUGGAACAGCAAUUAAAGGAGUAAUCCCGCUAUGAGAUGGGGCCCCGCGGCGCAUUAGCUAGUUGGUGAGGUAAUGGGCUCACCAAGGCGACGAUGCGUAGCCGACCUGAGAGGGUGAUCGGCCACAUUGGGACUGAGACACGGCCCAGACUCCUACGGGAGGCAGCAGUGGGGAAUAUUGCACAAUGGGGGAAACCCUGAUGCCAGCAACGCCGCGUGAGUGAUGACGGCCUUCGGGUUGUAAAGCUCUGUCUUCAGGGACGAUAAUGACGGUACCUGAGGAGGAAGCCACGGCUAACUACGUGCCAGCCGCGGC
rnacentral:rRNA from 1 species